rnacentral:rRNA from 1 species
UACGUAGGUGGCGAGCGUUGUCCGGAUUUACUGGGCGUAAAGGGAGCGUAGGCGGACUUUUAAGUGAGAUGUGAAAUACCCGGGCUCAACUUGGGUGCUGCAUUUCAAACUGUAAGACUUGAGUGCAGGAGAGGAGAGUGGAAUUCCUAGUGUAGCGGUGAAAUGCGUAGAUAUUAGGAGGAACACCAGUUGCGAAGGCGGCUCUCUGGACUGUAACUGACACUGAGGCGCGAAAGCGUGGGGAGCAAACAGGAUUAGAUACCCCUGUA